rnacentral:sRNA from 1 species
AAGGUUCGACUCGAGCGAAGCGAGAGAACGUUGCCGCAGGCAAUGGCCCGAAGGCGAGGCGCUUUAGCGCCGAGUAAUCCUUCCCCCACCACUU